rnacentral:rRNA from 1 species
CUACGGGUGCUCCAGUGAGGAAUAUUGCACAAUGGGGGGAACCCUGAUGCAGCAACGCCGCGUGGAGGAUGACGCAUUUCGGUGUGUAAACUCCUUUUAUAUGUCAAGAAAAUGACGGUAGCAUAUGAAUAAGCACCGGCUAACUGCCGUGCCAGCAGCCGCGGUAAUACGGAGGGUGCAAGCGUUACUCGGAAUCAGUGGGCGUAAAGGACGCGUAGGCGGGUUGGAAAGUCAGGUGUGAAAUCCUACAGCUUAACUGUAGAACUGCACUUGAAACUUAUAAUCUAGAGUAUGGGAGGGGAGAUGGAAUUAGUGGUGUAGGGGUAAAAUCCGUAGAUAUCACUAGGAAUACCUAAAGCGAAGGCGAUCUCCUGGAACAUUACUGACGCUAAGGCGUGAAAGCGUGGGGAGCAAACAGGAUUAGAUACCCGAGUAGUC